UACGUAGGUGGCGAGCGUUGUCCGGAUUUAUUGGGUUUAAAGGGUGCGUAGGCGGCUUUGUAAGUCAGUGGUGAAAUACUCCAGCUUAACUGGAGGGGUGCCAUUGAUACUGCGGAGCUUGAGUACAGAUGAGGUAGGCGGAAUUGACGGUGUAGCGGUGAAAUGCAUAGAUAUCGUCAAGAACACCGAUAGCGAAGGCAGCUUACUGGGCUGUAACUGACGCUGAUGCACGAAAAGUGUGGGGGAUCAAACAGG
rnacentral:rRNA from 1 species